rnacentral:misc_RNA from 1 species
GUGAGAUCGGAGUGCGUUAGGCGUAUCUCUCGUCACGAUGAUUGGAGGCUUGGGCUUAUUUUUAGAUCCAGGCGGACGGCCUCGAGGACGGCGAUUGGGAGCUCCGCCUCCAGAACUUGCACCAGCAUCACUGUCAGAUUCACCGCGCAUCAAUCCCAAACUAUAAUGAUUAAAAUCCAUUCUAAUUCUAUUCCUUACUAGUAAAUACUUACAAAUUAAAA